CAGGUUCGGGUUGCUCCGGGUCUAUUUCAAUGGGAUUGUGCUCAGAAUUUAUGAAUUUUGCAUCAAAGUCCCAUCGUUUUUCGAGACAUACCUAUUUCUUUGCUCCAUUUUGCCACUCAUCGGGACACAACCGGCCAAAUCUCACCCCUAAUUUUAACAGUAAAUUCAAUCGUCUGCAAUGUAGGCGCCUUGGGUCUAUUUCAACGUAUUGUUCUACUACUGUUUGUCUAUCUUCUUUUGUCUUCGUUCCUAUUUUCUCACGCAAACGUUAUUGUUCCGUCCUCAGUCCUCACCUAAACAUCAUGUGCUCCAACCUCCAACGAAACGCUGUAUCAAUUGCAUGAUUUGAUUUCAGUUACUUUAUUAUCGUUUAGUUAUUAUAUAUGUUGCCAAUUAUGAUUACUUGCCUUUAUUGCUCUAUAAGUUUGAUUUUCAAUGCAAAAAGAUCAAUGAAUGAAUAAUCUAUUUUAUUUAUGUUUUGGUUUCCUUAUUGCUCUUUUCACCAAAACCCACCAUCAUAGAGACCAUACGAGCAAGAUACUUUUGCAGCCAGAAUCUGGUCGGUGGCAGUUUCCUCGCUGGUUAAUUGCUUAUUUUCUCUAUUUUAUUUUGCUUGUUAAUUAAGUUGUCUAGUUUGUGAUUAUUAUUUUAAAUUUCUAGCUGUAAACUUUUAUUUACUUAAUCAAAUCGUAAAUCUGGGGUGCUUGAGAAAAUAUCAAACAAUGAACACUGUUAAAAAAACACAAUCUGGUUUGGAUUUGUUCUCUCUAACGAUCAAACAAUGGACACUGUCAAAAAAACACAAUCUGGUUUGGAUUUGUUCUCUCUAACUAUCAAACAAUGGACACUGUCA
rnacentral:lncRNA from 1 species